rnacentral:rRNA from 1 species
AAACAUCGCCUCUUGAAUCCCUAUAAGAGGUCUAGCCUGCCCAGUGACUCUGUUCAACGGCCGCGGUAUCCUAACCGUGCGAAGGUAGCGUAAUCACUUGUCUUUUAAAUGAGGACUUGUAUGAAUGGCAUCACGAGGGUUAUACUGUCUCCUUUCUCUAAUCAGUGAAACUAAUCUUCCCGUGAAGAAGCGGGAAUAAAUAUAUAAGACGAGAAGACCCUAUGGAGCUUUAAACUCAGUAACAAAUACUAACCUUACUUUAACUUCCAGAACAUUAACACUAAUCUUAGUAUUAUGAUUAUUAGUUUUAGGUUGGGGUGACCGCGGAGUAAAAAUUAACCUCCACAUUGAAUAGGACCUUUCCUUGAGCUAAGAGCUACAACUCUAAACACCAACAAAUUGACAUUAAUUGACCCAAUAUUUUGAUCAACGAACCAAGUUACCCUAGGGAUAACAGCGCAAUCCACUUCAAGAGCUCCUAUCGACAAGUGGGUUUACGACCUCGAUGUUGGAUCAGGGUAUCCCAGUGGUGCAGCCGCUACUAAAGGUUCGUUUGUUCAACGAUUAAAACCCUACGUGAUCUGAGUUCAGACCGGAGUAAUCCAGGUCAGUUUCUAUCUAUAAAAGAGUUUUUUCUAGUACGAAAGGACCGAAAAAACAUGGCCCAUACUUAAUGCAAGCCAUAAUUAUUAACUUAUGACCAAAUCUUAAUAAGUACCUAAUCCACCACUUAACUCAAAAAAAGAGUAGUUAACGUAGCAUAACCUGGUAUUGCAAAAGACCUAAACCCUUUCUAUAGAGACUCAAAUCCUCUCGUUAAC